rnacentral:rRNA from 1 species
AUUGAACGCUGGCGGCAGGCCUAACACAUGCAAGUCGAGCGGUAGCACAGAGAGCUUGCUCUCGGGUGACGAGCGGCGGACGGGUGAGUAAUGUCUGGGAAACUGCCUGAUGGAGGGGGAUAACUACUGGAAACGGUAGCUAAUACUGCAUAACGUCGCAAGACCAAAGAGGGGGACCUUCGGGCCUCUUGCCAUCAGAUGUGCCCAGAUGGGAUUAGCUAGUAGGUGGGGUAACGGCUCACCUAGGCGACGAUCCCUAGCUGGUCUGAGAGGAUGACCAGCCACACUGGAACUGAGACACGGGCCAGACUCCCACGGGAGGCAGCAGUGGGGAAUAUUGCACAAUGGGCGCAAGCCUGAUGCAGCCAUGCCGCGUGUAUGAAGAAGGCCUUCGGGUUGUAAAGUACUUUCAGCGGGGAGGAAGGCGAUAAGGUUAAUAACCUCGUCGAUUGACGUUACCCGCAGAAGAAGCACCGGCUAACUCCGUGCCAGCCGCCGCAGUAA